CAUUGGAGUAUUUGUCUAGUAUUCAUGUUUCACAGCAUGAAGUAGGCUAAAUAAAAUUUUUCAUAUUUGUAUGACUUCAGGUUUUAAAUCAAAGAUGUAUCCUGUUCAUAGUGGCAAGGUUGAAAACAACUUGAAUAUUCACUGAGUACUCCCUAAGGAUAACUGAAAAGAAAAAAGUGUGACAGCUUGAAACAAGGACACACAGCUACUGCUUUCCAUGCCCAUAUUUUCCUGUCAUCCCUAUCUUUCUCCUCUCCCUCUAACUGACUUUCCAUCUUAAAUCUUCUCCUGCUCUCACCCUGCGAAAGGCUCAGAAGUCACCACCAGUUGCUUAGAAUGAAAAUGGGAGUGGAGCAGCUGGAAGAUCUAUUUCUAUUUCUGUUACUCAACGUUGUCUCCAAUCUCAUUUUUUUUUUCCUCAUAGAAACACUAUGAAACUUGUUUCUAAAAUUUUGUUCCCGUUUUGGAGAAAUUGGGAUGUGUGUUGGACUGGAUUUUUUGUACUAGCCCUGGACACCUAACCACAAUAAAUAAUGAGUUAUUUUCAGAGGAAACAGCAUUCUGGAACCGAGAGCAUAUAUCAAUCUUCUCCUUUCUUUUAGUGAACAGUUCCACUCUUUGGCGCAGAUCAAGGUGGUGAUGGUGAUCUCUUUUGCUGUACUUUUUAAGGUUCAGCAAAACCAGCCCAUUUCCUUGUGCCUACUGUUAUGAAGAAAGAAAGUGUUGUGUUUUUGUUUUGUUUUUUCAUUGCAGCGAGUGACUUCAUUUUAUAAGGCAGGGCAAAAGCAAGACAGCAAGAAAAGGAACAUGAAAUCUCAUUUUGGGAAUAAAGAAAACAAUCAUUUCAAACAGUCCCUAAUUAUGUGUAAGUACAUGUGUGUAGAAUAAAAAUGUAGAAUGCAAUUAAAGCAUUCGAAGUAUCUCGACAAAAAUUACACAUGGGAAUUCUAUGGUCC
ensembl:lncRNA